AGAGUUUGAUCCUGGCUCAGAACGAACGCUGGCGGUGCGUCUUAAGCAUGCAAGUCGAACGAAUGAUCCUUCGGGAUCGGAAGUGGCGGACGGGUGAGUAACACGUAGGUAAUCUGCCCUUUUGUGGGGAAUAGCAUAUGGAAACAUAUGAUAAUACCGCAUAAUAAGAUUUACAUAAGUAGAUCUUUGAAAGUUCCUAAGGGAACGCAAGAGGAUGAGCCUGCGGCCCAUUAGCUAGUUGGUGAGGUAAAGGCCCACCAAGGCAACGAUGGGUAGCCGGACUGAGAGGUUGGACGGCCACAUUGGGAUUGAGAACGGCCCAGACUCCUACGGGAGGCAGCAGCUAAGGAUCUUCCGCAAUGGGCGAAAGCCUGACGGAGCGACACCGCGUGGACGAUGAAGGUCGUGAGAUUGUAAAGUCCUUUUUUAGAGAAAGAACAACUUAGAGAGGGAAUGCUCUAGGGAUGACAUAUAUCUAAGAAUAAGCCCCGGCUAACUACGUGCCAGCAGCCGCGGUAAUACGUAGGGGGCGAGCGUUGUUCGGAAUUAUUGGGCGUAAAGGGUGCGCAGGCGGCUUAGAAAGUCUGGCGUUAAAGGUUAGGGCUCAACCCUAGUAUGCGCUGGAAACUUCUAAGCUAGAGUACAGCAGGGGUCGUCGGAAUUCCAGGUGUAGGGGUGAAAUCUGUAGAUAUCUGGAAGAACACCGGAGGCGAAGGCGGACGGCUGGGCAUGUACUGACGCUGAGGCACGAAGGUGCGGGGAGAAAACAGGUUUAGAUACCCUGGUAGUCCGCACAGUAAACUAUGCACACCAGGUGUCGGGGGUAACUCGGUACCGAAGCAAACGCGUUGAGUGUGCCGCCUGGGGAGUAUGCUCGCAAGGGUGAAACUCAAAGGAAUUGACGGGGGCCCGCACAAGCGGUGGAGCAUGUGGUUUAAUUCGAUGAUACGCGAGGAACCUUACCAGGGCUUGACAUAGAAAGGACAAGGUAUGAAAGUACUUCUCCCUUCGGGGUCUUUCUACAGGUGCUGCAUGGUUGUCGUCAGCUCGUGUCGUAAGAUGUGAGAUUAAGUUCUUCAACGAGCGCAACCCUUGCCAUCCGUUGCCAUCAGUUCGGCUGGGCACUCAAAUGGGACUGCCGGCGACAAGCCGGAGGAAGGCGGGGAUGACGUCAAAUCAUCAUGGCCCUUACGUCCUGGGCUACACACGUGCUACAAUGGUCGGUACAGAGCGAAGCAAAGCCGAAAGGUGGAGCGGAUCGCAGAAAGCCGAUCUCAGUACGGAUUGGGGGCUGCAACUCGCCCCCAUGAAGUUGGAAUCGCUAGUAAUCGCAUAUCAGCAUGAUGCGGUGAAUACGUUCCCGGGCCUUGCACACACCGCCCGUCA
rnacentral:rRNA from 1 species